rnacentral:rRNA from 1 species
GAUGAACGCUGGCGGCGUGCCUAAUACAUGCGAGUCGAGCGAACAGACGAGGAGCUUGCUCCUCUGACGUUAGCGGCGGACGGGUGAGUAACACGUGGAUAACCUACCUAUAAGACUGGGAUAACUUCGGGAACCGGAGCUAAUACCGGAUAACAUGUUGAACCGCAUGGUUCAACAGUGAAAGACGGUCUUGCUGUCACUUAUAGAUGGAUCCGCGCCGCAUUAGCUAGUUGGUAAGGUAACGGCUUACCAAGGCAACGAUGCGUAGCCGACCUGAGAGGGUGAUCGGCCACACUGGAACUGAGACACGGUCCAGACUCCUACGGGAGGCAGCAGUAGGGAAUCUUCCGCAAUGGGCGAAAGCCUGACGGAGCAACGCCGCGUGAGUGAAGAAGGUCUUCGGAUCGUAAAACUCUGUUAUUAGGGAAGAACAAAUGUGUAAGUAACUAUGCACGUCUUGACGGUACCUAAUCAGAAAGCCACGGCUAACUACGUG